AAUUCAACUAACUGUAAGUCACUCUGAAGAAGAGUGUCUGCUAAAUGACUAAAA
rfam:Salmo salar isolate Sally breed double haploid chromosome ssa04, whole genome shotgun sequence.